rnacentral:rRNA from 1 species
GACAGAGGGUGCAAACGUUGUUCGGAAUUACUGGGCGUAAAGCGCGUGUAGGCUGCUCGGAAAGUCGGAUGUGAAAGCCCUGGGCUUAACCCAGGAAGAGCAUUCGAAACACCCGAGCUUGAGUACCGGAGAGGAAGGCGGAAUUCUCGGUGUAGAGGUGAAAUUCGUAGAUAUCGAGAGGAACACCUGUGGCGAAGGCGGCCUUCUGGACGGUUACUGACGCUGAGACGCGAAAGCGUGGGGAGCAAACGGG